GAUGAAGAACGUAGCGAAAUGCGAUAAGUAAUGCGAAUUGCAGAAUUUCCGUGAGUCAUCGAAUCUUUGAACGCACAUUGCGCCCGCCAGUAUUCUGGCGAGCAUGCCUGUUCGAGCGUCAUUUCAACCAUCAAGCCCCAGGCUUGUGUUGGAGCCCUGCGGCUGCCGCAGCCUCCCAAAACCAGUGGCGGGCUCGCUAUCACACCGAGUGCAGUAGUUUACUCUUCGCUCAGGGCGUGUGGCGGGUGCUAGCCGUGAAACCCCCAACUUCUCAAGGUUGACCUCGGAUCAGGUAGGAAUACCCGCUGAACUUAAGCAUAUCAAUAAGCGGAGGA
rnacentral:misc_RNA from 1 species